UAGGGGCGUUCUUGUCGAGACCAUCGAUUCUAUCCGUCCAACCGGUGUUCCUCGUCUCUGUAAGCGUUGUCUCCCGCUAAAGAAUGGUCUCAGGUAGAAUGAGUGGUCAUUUGAGUAGAACCAUUUACGUUGGCAACCUCCCUGGAGAUAUUCGUGAGAGAGAAAUAGAAGAUCUUUUUUAUAAGUAUGGGCCUAUUGUUGAUAUUGACUUGAAGAUCCCGCCAAGGCCACCAGGUUAUGCCUUUGUUGAGUUUGAAGAUUCUCGAGAUGCUGAAGAUGCCAUUCGUAGUCGUGACGGGUAUAACUUUGAUGGGCAUCGGUUAAGGGUAGAACUGGCACAUGGUGGGCGUGGCCAUUCUUCAACAAUAGAUCGUCGUAGUAGUCAUGGCAGCGGUGGCAGCCGUGGAGGAGUCUCUAGGCGUUCUGAAUACCGUGUGUUAGUCACAGGUUUACCUUCUUCUGCUUCAUGGCAAGACUUAAAGGAUCACAUGCGUCGAGCUGGGGACGUUUGCUUCUCUCAAGUGUUCCGUGAUGGUGGUGGUACGACUGGGAUUGUGGAUUACACAAACUAUGAAGACAUGAAAUAUGCUAUUAGGAAGCUAGAUGACUCUGAGUUUCGGAAUGCAUUUUCCCGUGCAUAUAUACGAGUGAAGGAGUACGACUCAAGGCGGAGCUUAUCUAGGAGCCAUAGUCGUAGCCGGUCCCACUCAAGAACUAAAAGUAAAAGCCCUAGUCGCAGUCGCAGUUAUAGCAGAAGCCGGAGCCAAAGUAAAUCCCCAAAGGCCAAGUCUUCUCGUCGUUCUUUGUCUAGAUCUCGAUCAAGGUCUGUUUCUUCUCGCUCCCAUUCAGGGUCAAGACCACGCUCUUUGUCAAGAUAUGGCUUUAUGCGGCGAUUUGGGGAUUGCAUAUUAGGAACUUGAUUGGAUAUUGGUGCAAAUGCCUGUAACUCUUUUGGUUGUGGAGCACGCCCAUGGGAGCUAGAGCUAGAGUGGGGAAGGAGAGGAUGAGCUGCGAUAUUAAAGCUGGAUUACCGUGAACUAAAUGCUAUUGGGACCAACCACCAAUCAGCGGUAGAAACAAAUCCAAAAUCACUUUGUGGUCCAACAUCGCCAUGCUUGUAGGAGUUGCGCUCAGAGUCCUCUUUGGAUUUUGGUGGUACAAAUGGGAAUGAUGUUCCUAUCCUAACCUCUAUAUCUUAACUAUGUUAUUGUGCCAUUAUCCAGAUUGCCAAUAUAUCAUUGUGCUUUCUAUUUCGACAUGUUUCUUCAUUGGGUCAAUGAUUAUCAGUGACUUGCCGGGUUCCUCUUUGGUGGGAAGGGAGUCUUGAUGACUUGUGCUCUCUUUGUUGAACCAUGCUAAAGUUUUAUGGGUUUUUUUUUCUUCUUUUUCCUUUUGAAUAUGGUUGCUCUGACGUGGAAGAGGCGUCCUGGCUUUUGGAUCAAAGGUGUUAAAAGAACGUUGUGGAUAUUGAAUUGGGUUAUUUCUGGAACUUUUGCAGAUCUCCAUCAAGAUCGAAAUCUCCAUUACCCUCUUCUCGUAGCAAACGUGUGAGCAAAAGCCCAAAGAAGCAGAAGAGCCUUAGUCAUAGCCGGAGCCCAAGC